UACGAAGGGGGCUAGCGUUGUUCGGAAUUACUGGGCGUAAAGCGUGCGCAGGCGGCUUCUCAAGUCAGGGGUGGAAGCCCAGAGCUCAACUCUGGAAUUGCCUUUGAGACUGAGUGGCUUGAGUACGAGAGAGGUGAGUGGAAUUCCCAGUGUAGAGGUGAAAUUCGUAGAUAUUGGGAAGAACACCGGUGGCGAAGGCGGCUCACUGGCUCGUAACUGACGCUCAUGCACGACAGCGUGGGGAUCAAACAGG
rnacentral:rRNA from 1 species